rnacentral:misc_RNA from 1 species
GAUGAAGAACGCAGCGAAAUGCGAUACUUGGUGUGAAUUGCAGAAUCCCGUGAACCAUCGAGUCUUUGAACGCAAGUUGCGCCCGAAGCCAUUAGGCCGAGGGCACGCCUGCCUGGGCGUCACACGUCGUUGCCCCCCCAUCUACUCCUUCGGGAUUGCGGGGGGUGGAUGAUGGCCUCCCGUGCGCCUCGCCGCGCGGUUGGCAUAAAUGCCAAGUCCUCGGCGACGCACGCCACGACAAUCGGUGGUUGCGAAACCUCGGUUGCCCGUCGUGUGCGGUCGUCGCGCAUCGAGGGCCCGAAAAAAUUGCCGGGUUCCGGCUCGGCUUUCAACGCGACCCCAGGUCAGGCGGGGUUACCCGCUGAAUUUAAGCAUAUCAAUAAGCGGAGGA